AGCAGCCGCGGUAAUUCCAGCUCCAAUAGCGUAUAUUAAAGUUGUUGCAGUUAAAAAGCUCGUAGUUGAAUUUCGGGGUCAGUAGGUUGGUCAUGCCACUGGUAUGUACUGAUCUUACUGAUUCCUCCUUCCUGAUGAACCGUAAUGCCAUUAAUUUGGUGUUGCGGGGAGACUGGACUGUUACUUUGAAAAAAUUAGAGUGUUUAAAGCAGGCUAACGCUUGAAUACAUUAGCAUGGAAUAAUGAAAUAGGACGUUCGAUCCUAUUUUGUUGGUUUCUAGGAUUGACGUAAUGAUUAAUAGGGAUAGUUGGGGGCAUUAGUAUUCAAUUGUCAGAGGUGAAAUUCUUGGAUUUAUUGAAGACUAACUACUGCGAAAGCAUUUGCCAAGGAUGUUUUCAUUAAUCAAGAACGAAAGUUAGGGGAUCGAAGACGAUCAGAUACCGUCGUAG
rnacentral:rRNA from 1 species